UCUGCUGAUUCCUUACGAAGCCU
rnacentral:miRNA from 2 species